UGGGCAAUCUGCCCUGCACUCUGGGACAAGCCCUGGAAACGGGGUCUAAUACCGGAUAUUACCUUCCUCUGCAUGGGGGUUGGUGGAAAGCUCCGGCGGUGCAGGAUGAGCCCGCGGCCUAUCAGCUUGUUGGUGGGGUAAUGGCCUACCAAGGCGACGACGGGUAGCCGGCCUGAGAGGGCGACCGGCCACACUGGGACUGAGACACGGCCCAGACUCCUACGGGAGGCAGCAGUGGGGAAUAUUGCACAAUGGGCGAAAGCCUGAUGCAGCGACGCCGCGUGAGGGAUGACGGCCUUCGGGUUGUAAACCUCUUUCAGCAGGGAAGAAGCGCAAGUGACGGUACCUGCAGAAGAAGCACCGGCUAACUACGUGCCAGCAGCCGCGGUAAUACGUAGGGUGCGAGCGUUGUCCGGAAUUAUUGGGCGUAAAGAGCUCGUAGGCGGCCUGUCGCGUCGGAUGUGAAAGCCCGGGGCUUAACCCCGGGUCUGCAUUCGAUACGGGCAGGCUAGAGUGUGGUAGGGGAGAUCGGAAUUCCUGGUGUAGCGGUGAAAUGCGCAGAUAUCAGGAGGAACACCGGUGGCGAAGGCGGAUCUCUGGGCCAUUACUGACGCUGAGGAGCGAAAGCGUGGGGAGCGAACAGGAUUAGAUACCCUGGUAGUCCACGCCGUA
rnacentral:rRNA from 1 species